GAUGAACGCUGGCGGCGUGCCUAAUACAUGCAAGUCGAGCGAACAGACGCGGAGCUUGCUCCUCUGACGUUAGCGGAGGACGGGUGAGUAACACGUGGAUAACCUACCUAUAAGACUGGGAUAACUUCGGAACACCGGAGCUAAUACCGGAUAAUAUAUUGAACCGCAUGGUUCAUUAGUGAAAGACGGUUUUGCUGUCACUUAUAGAUGCAUCCGCGCUGCAUUAGAUGGUUGGUAAGGUAACGGCUUACCACGGCAACGAUGCGUAGCCGACCUGAGGGGGGGGUAGCCCACACUGGAACUGAGACACCGUCCAGGGGCCUGAGGGAGGCAGCAGUAGGGAAUCGUCCGCAACGGGCGAAAGCCUGGCGGAGCAACGCCGCGUGAGUGAUGAAGGUCUUCGGAUCGUAAUACUCUGUUAUUAGGGAAGAACAAAUGUGUAAGUAACUAUGCACGUCGUGACGGUACCUAAUCAGAAAGCCACGGCUAACUACGUG
rnacentral:rRNA from 1 species